ACUCAAAGGAAUAGACGGGGACCCGCACAAGCAGAGGAGGAUGUGGUUUAAUAUGACGCUACGCGUAGAACCUUACCGAGGCUUGACAUCCCUAGAACCCGCCGGAAACGGUGGGGUGUCUUCGGAAGCUAGGUGACAGGUGCUGCAUGGCCGUCGUCAGCUCGUGUCGUGAGAUGUUGGGUUAAGUCCCGCAACGAGCGCAACCCUUAUCGUAUGUUGUAUUUUUCAUGCGAGACUGCCCGGGCCAACCGGGAGGAAGGUGGGGAUGACGUCAGGUCGGCAUGGCCCUUACGCCUCGGGCCACACACGUCCUACAAUGGCCGGUACAACGCGUUGCCAACCCGCGAGGGGGAGCUAAUCGCAUCAAAACCGGUCCCAGUUCGGAUUGCAGGCUGCAACUCGCCUGCAUGAAGUCGGAUUUGCUAGUAACCGUGGGUCAGCACACCGCGGUGAAUACGUUCCCGGGUCUUGUACACACCGCCCGU
rnacentral:rRNA from 1 species